UACGUAGGGUGCAAGCGUUGCCCGGAUUUAUUGGGCGUAAAGGGCGCGUAGGCGGCUCUGCACGUCCGUUGUGAAAUCGCCCGGCUCAACUGGGCGGGGUCAGCGGAUACGGCGGAGCUUGAGCAAGCUAGGGGGCAAUGGAAUUCCCGGUGUAGUGGUGGAAUGCGUAGAGAUCCGGAAGAACACCGGUGGCGAAGGCGGCCUGCUGGGCAGUAGCUGACGCUGAGGCGCGACAGCGUGGGGAGCAAACGGG
rnacentral:rRNA from 1 species